UUCUCCCUCAGUCUACUUUUGGACGUUCACAAUGUCUGCAUUUUGGAGUCAGAAGAGAAAGCCAUGAGGAGAGGAAAAAGUAACUUCAAUAAACUAUUUAACACAAAGAACUGGAUGGCAGCCGUCAGCCUGAAUGAAUCAUGGAGUGAGAGACUAAGGUGAAUAGUACCUUCAAGGAUCUCCAAGGCUCCAUACAAAGUAGUGCAUGGCUUUCAGAUUCUUCACCAGAGCAAGGGUAUUAAACAAAAGGGCCCCAGGUGUCCCCCUGUAAGCUACCCAAUUAGGGUUAUUAAUUUGUAAAAUUAUUUUAGGGAUUUAAUUAUGUUAUCUUUCUUCAGAGUUCAUUUGUAUUCCCUAAUUUCUGUAAAGGUCUGCUGAAUAUUUAGAGGUGUCUGAGAUUCAGUUUAUAACUCAUCAUAGAGGCAUAGAAUAAAAGAAAUGAUGUUCUAAAAACCUGAAAGAAUUGGUAUGUUUUACCUGGAUUCUCCUCUCACCACGGAGCAACAUAGCCAUUGAAGGACACAAAGACCAAGCAGAAAAGCAUGGCAAAGUGAAGGCAGCUUUCUACCUAUUGCCUAAUAUAAUGUUAUCCAUUGUGGAGUUUAAUCAGUUGGCAAAAAUAAACUGUUACCUUUUACUCCUCAUAACAAGGGGAGCAUUUACGUGCUCCAAUUCAGUUAAUAAAAAACACCUGAUCCACUGAAAUUCUGUCUGUUAGUGGCUGAAAUAUUUGUAUGGGAUUUAUUUGUACAGUUUGCCAAAUAAUUCAGGCUUCCCUCCUCUGAGGGACAUCAUAGGAUUACAAUUCUGCCUUUGUCGUGGGUGAGGGAAUGACUCAUGUGAUGUGAUUGAUUCCGAUAGCUGUGCCAGAACAUUUGUUUGCUAAUUUGAGACCCUCAAAAUCUGUCUUUUUUUUUUUUUUUCCUGUCCUGCCAAGGGCUCAGUAAAGUUGCAGACAGUCGCUCUUCCUCGACUAAGAGUAAACUGUGCAGACAGAGUUCUUGACUAAGGGCAAAUUAUGCAGACACCCCUUAGUAA
rnacentral:lncRNA from 1 species